rfam:Gossypium arboreum cultivar AKA8401 contig_8404_1, whole genome shotgun sequence.
UGUUAAAAAAAUUCAUCCAUUUGCACAGUUAAAAAUUAGCGUGGUUAAUAGAAUAACAAGAUAAUGGCUGCCAUGUGUACCUCAUGUUGGCAUACGGAGACCAAUAUUUAAUAGCAGAAAUAGAUAAAAUUUUUAAUA